ACGGGGGUGAUUGUCAUCCUCGGGCAAGGUUUGCAUACUCGCCCCGUGCGCAGGGUUUUUGCGCACACCACCCAUUCAUUGCAAAGGUCUCGCAUCAACAUGGCAACAGGUACCGUGAAGUGGUUCAACGACGCCAAGGGAUUUGGCUUUAUUACUCCGGACGACGGCGGCGCUGAUCUGUUCGCGCACUUCUCCGCCAUCCAGGGCAAUGGCUUCAAGUCCCUGCAGGAAGGCCAGAAAGUCACCUUCGAAAAGACCCAGGGCCCGAAGGGCGACCAGGCAUCCAACAUCCAGCCCGCCUGAUCCAUUCAGUCGCGUGUUGGAAGAACCCCGCUUCGGCGGGGUUUUUUUU
rnacentral:other from 1 species